CCUACGGGUGGCAGCAGUGGGGAAUAUUGCACAAUGGGGGAAACCCUGAUGUAGCGACGCCGCGUGCGUGAAGAAGUAUUUCGGUAUGUAAAGCUCUAUCAGCACGGAAGAAGAAAGACGGUACCUUACUAAGUAGCCCCGGCUAACUACGUACCAGCAGCCGCGGUAAGACGUAGGGGGCAAGCGUUAUCCGGAUGUACUGGGUUUAACGGGAGCGUAGACGGCUGUGCAAGUCUGAGGUGCAAGCCCCGGGCUCAAGCCGGGGACUGCUUGGGAAACUGUGGAGCGAGAGUGCUGGAGAGGCAGGCGGAAGUCGUGGUGUAGCGGGGAAAUGCUUAGAUAUUAGGAGGAACCCCGGUGGCGAAGGCGGCUUACUGCAGCGUAACUGACGCUGAGGCUCGAAAGCGUGGGGAGCGAACAGGAUUAGAUACCCGAGUAGUC
rnacentral:rRNA from 1 species